AUUGAACGCUGGCGGCAUGCCUUACACAUGCAAGUCGAACGGUAACAGGUCUUCGGAUGCUGACGAGUGGCGAACGGGUGAGUAAUACAUCGGAACGUGCCUAGUAGUGGGGGAUAACUACUCGAAAGAGUGGCUAAUACCGCAUGAGAUCUACGGAUGAAAGCAGGGGAUCGCAAGACCUUGUGCUACUAGAGCGGCCGAUGGCAGAUUAGGUAGUUGGUGGGAUAAAAGCUUGCCAAGCCGACGAUCUGUAGCUGGUCUGAGAGGACGAUCAGCCACACUGGAGCUGAGACCGGGCCCAGACUCCUACGGGAGGCAGCAGUGGGGAAUUUUGGACGAUGGGCGAAAGCCUGAUCCAGCGAUGCCGCGUGCAGGAUGAAGGCCUUCGGGUUGUAAACUGCUUUUGUACGGAACGAAAAGCCCCGGGUUAAUACCCUGGGGUCAUGACGGUACCGUAAGAAUAAGCACCGGCUAACUACGUGCCAGCCGCCGCCGUAA
rnacentral:rRNA from 1 species